rnacentral:rRNA from 1 species
UACGGAGGAUGCGAGCGUUAUCCGGAUUUAUUGGGUUUAAAGGGUGCGCAGGCGGUCUGUUAAGUCAGCGGUCAAAGCCCGGGGCUCAACCCCGUACUGCCGUUGAAACUGCAUCCCUUGAGUGCGCGAGAAGUAUGCGGAAUGCGUGGUGUAGCGGUGAAAUGCAUAGAUAUCACGCAGAACUCCGAUUGCGAAGGCAGCAUACCGGCGCGCAACUGACGCUCAUGCACGAAAGCGUGGGUAUCGAACAGG